CAUGACACGAGAAAUAAAUUUCCGGUGUCAACAAACCAGGUUUUUUAUGAUUCAUAUUUCAAUUUUAUGCUAGAAAUAUUGCAGAUUAUUCUUGUUUAGAUCCUUUAACCGUCUGCAGUAUUUGAGGAAAUAACAGAGGGUGGCUUAUGAAGUAAAUGGAAUACCAAGUGAAAUUGUUGUUAGUCAAUUUACAGAUAAAUUAUUUAUUGUUGUUACACAAUAUAAAAAAAUAGGUACUGUGCUCCAGAUCAAUAAAGAAAUAGUUUUAGAUGAG